GGAUGGAACUGCUACACAGACAACAC
rnacentral:piRNA from 1 species